GACGAACGCUGGCGGCGUGCUUAACACAUGCAAGUCGAACGAAGAGCGAUGGAAGCUUGCUUCUAUCAAUCUUAGUGGCGAACGGGUGAGUCACGCGUAAUCAACCUGCCCUUCAGAGGGGGACAACAGUUGGAAACGACUGCUAAUACCGCAUACGAUCUAAUCUCGGCAUCGAGGAAAGAUGAAAGGUGGCCUCUAUUUAUAAGCUAUCACUGAAGGAGGGGAUUGCGUCUGAUUAGCUAGUUGGAGGGGUAACGGCCCACCAAGGCGAUGAUCAGUAGCCGGUCUGAGAGGAUGGACGGCCACAUUGGGACUGAGACACGGCCCAGACUCCAACGGGAGGCAGCAGUGGGGAAUCUUCCGCAAUGGACGAAAGUCUGACGGAGCAACGCCGCGUGAGUGAUGACGGCCUUCGGGUUGUAAAGCUCUGUUAAUCGGGACGAAAGGACUUCUUGCGAACAGUUAGAAGGAUUGACGGUACCGGAAUAGAAAGCCACGGCUAACUACGUG
rnacentral:rRNA from 1 species